CCUACGGGAGGCAGCAGUGAGGAAUAUUGGACAAUGGGCGCAAGCCUGAUCCAGCCAUGCCGCGUGCAGGAAGACGCAUCUAUGGUGUGUAAACUGCUUUUGUACGGGAAGAAACACUCCUUCGUGAAGGAGCUUGACGGUACCGUAAGAAUAAGGAUCGGCUAACUCCGUGCCAGCAGCCGCGGUAAUACGGAGGAUCCAAGCGUUAUCCGGAAUCAUUGGGUUUAAAGGGUCCGUAGGCGGUUUAAUAAGUCAGUGGUGAAAUCUGGUCGCUCAACGAUCAAACGGCCAUUGAUACUGUUAGACUUGAAUUACUAGGAAGUAACUAGAAUAUGUAGUGUAGCGGUGAAAUGCUUAGAUAUUACAUGGAAUACCAAUUGCGAAGGCAGGUUACUACUAGUGGAUUGACGCUGAUGGACGAAAGCGUGGGGAGCGAACAGGAUUAGAUACCCUGGUAGUCCACGCCGUAAACGAUGGAUACUAGCUGUUGGGCGCAAGUUCAGUGGCUAAGCGAAAGUGAUAAGUAUCCCACCUGGGGAGUACGUUCGCAAGAAUGAAACUCAAAGGAAUUGACGG
rnacentral:rRNA from 1 species